UACGUAGGGGGCGAGCGUUGUCCGGAGUUACUGGGCGUAGAGGGCGCGCAGGCGGUCUGGUAAGUUUGGAGUGACAGUGCUCGGCUUAACUGAGCAAGGCCUUCGAAAACUGUCAGACUUGAGCACUCAAGAGGGACAUAGAAUUCCGGGUGGAGUGGUGAAAUGCGUAGAUAUCCGGAGGAAUACCAAAGGCGAAGGCAGUGUCCUGGGGAGUGUCUGACGCUCAGGCGCGAAAGCUAGGGGAGCGAACAGG
rnacentral:rRNA from 1 species